rnacentral:tRNA from 1 species
GGCUGUGUGUUCUAGUGGUCAUGAUUUCUCGUUCACAUCCAUGUGCACAAGAUCCCGAGAAGGUCGCAGGUUCGAGCCCUGCCGCGGUCA